rnacentral:tRNA from 1 species
GUCCCCGUAGUUAAAUGGAUAUAACAGCCCCCUCCUAAGGGGCAGAUGCAGGUUCGAUUCCCGCCGGGGGCGCCA